CCUCAAAAUUUUCAAUGAUGCUCAUGAAUCUGUGUUGGUGGUCCCUUGCUUUAAUUUUAUAAGACUUCCCAUAAUAAGUUGGUUUGAAGAAAAAAGGAAAAAUACACUAAUAUUAAACUAUAGUUGUACGAGCUUUACUAGUUAUACAAUACAAUUGUACUAGCCACACUAGUCAUAUUUGAUCUAAAGAUACAAUAUACAGUUGUACCAGUUAAACUAGUUAAACACAUUCUACUUGUAUUAGUUACACUAGUUAAACUCUUCUACUUGUAUUAGUUAUACAAGUUAAACUCUUCUAAUUGUACCGGUUAUACUAGUUAAAUUUGUUUUAGUUGUACUAGCUGAACACUUUUAGUUGAACUCAUUAUAAAUGUACUGGAAAUUCUUAUAGUUGUACCAAUUAUACUAGUUGAACUCAUUUUAGUUUUAUUACUUGCACUAGUUAUACCGAUCAUAUUUGAAGUAGUUAUACUAGUUACACACAUUGUAGUUCUAUUAGUUAUACAAGUCAUACUAUUACAACUUUCCCUUAGUUUUUUUAGUUGCAUUAAUCCUAGUUUCAUUACUUAAACUAGUUAUAUGGCUUCUAGUUGGACUAGUUGUCCACAUCCUAAUUGUGCUAGUUAAACAACUUAAAUUCCUCCUAUUUUACUAGUUGAAUAACUUAAACUCGUAGUUCUACUCGUUGUAUUCAAAAUAGUUCUACUAAUUCUACUACAACCACAAAAUGUCAUAGUACCCUAUUAUAACAAUCAAACCAUUUUCAAGAUUUUUACCGUCGUUUCGUCUUGUGUUUUAUCCUCUGCAUGAGGUGUGCUUGAGCUGGUAUACCCGGUUUCCUUUUUUUUCAAGUAGCUCCAGAGAAAGAAUUUCUGUCGAAUAUCCUAAAAGAAAAAUACGUUGAUGUGGCUGAUGUGACACAACACGGCAGACCGUCCCUAUAUUUCUUGCUCAUUGGGAGAUGUUGUGGAAUGCAUCAGUGGUGCCUCAGUUUCUCUUUCUUGGUCAUGGUUCAACUGACAAGUCCUCUUUUUUAGAAGUGACGACAAACCUCCAUCAUAUCCACCAUCUUAUCUCUCUUCGUCUUUCCAACGACUCCCUCUUCUUCGUUGAAAUUUCUUUAUUUUUCUUUGGAUCUCAAUGAUAAACUGUUAAGAUUUUGGAUUUUUUAUUUAAAAGAGACCAUGAAUGAAAAGGGUCAAAAAUAAUUGUGUGGUGUUGCGUUUGAUAUUUGAGGAUUUAUAUUAGAAACAAGGUCAAAUUUUGGGUCAGAAUAUGGACAUAACUGACUAUAUUUGUAAAUUACUAAAUUUUAGAGUUUAUGAUAUUUUACCUUUUUCCUGAUUCAAAUUUAAAUGUUCAAACAAAAAAUAAAAAUGCCUUUAUCGAAUGAUCUCAUGCCUUUGAAGACCAAACAAUGAAUAAGUAUUUAAAUAAUGAAAAAAUAUUCCUCGAGUCAAUCUUCCAUUUUCCAUUUGCACUCUAGGCCACAUUGUGCUUGAGGCACACAUUUGGCUUAUUCAAAGACAUAAUUUCCCUUCCUCUAGAAAAAUCAAUUUUCCAUACCAAACCACACCAAACAAUACUAAACCAAUUUAAACUAUCUAUCCAACGAAAGCUACGAAAUAUCUCGAAACUUAACCAUAAUCCCGCCUAUAACAAAAAAAGAGAUCCCCUUUUCCCACCGCAAAAAGGUGCAACCCUAAAAUCGCAAUCGAAAACAAAAUCGACUACAUCUACUUCUCUAAAACUCUACUUUCUAGCGAAUCCAUUCCUCUCCUUCUGAUUUCCUCUGUUAAGGCUAAGCGGAGAUCCCGUAGAUCCAGCGCAACCGACAUGCAAGGAACAAGAGGUAGAGUCAGGUUUUGUUGAACUCAGUGACUACUCUUCAGCAGAGGAUACUCCAAUGUAUCGACCAUCCGAUGAAGAAACCCACUUAGCCUCAAAACUCUUCUGCUGCCAUGAUAUCCCAUCACUUCACUCAUCACUCCCUUUCCCUAGCCCCAGUGGGACCUUUUCUUUGCUACUCUGUCAACACACAAGCAAGUGUAAGUCUUAUUAUGUUACAAAAAUUCUUUUGAAUCGUACAUAACCUAAUUCAUGUCAUUACAACAGCUUCCAUAUCACACCUUCAAAAUUCGAUUUCUCCAAAAACAUUCCUAUUUGAACUGGCAGAGCCCAAAAAAUGGACAACAACCUAUGUAAAUUCUCCUCAAGUCUCUAAAUCCCUGAUGUUUUUCGACUAAUAACAUGGGUACACCUUUUCUUUCGCAGCACAUGUAAAUACUCAUGCAUAUGCUAGCUGGAAGGUACAGUCCACUUCCACCAGCAUAAACUAGCUUUCACUACAUCUUAUCUAUCAUCAAAAAUACAAGCGAAAUUUAGGAGGUUUAGAGCGUGCAAAGACAAAUAUCGUUUCCAUUGGGAUAAGUGUUUGACUGAUGUGGUUCUCCAAAAAAAUGGAUGGAAGACGUCUUUACUGUCAACACUCCUAUGAUAUGGGAUGGCUCUCACUGGGUGGGUUUGGCCAUCAAUCUUGACAUGUGUUUGGUAUAAAUACUAAACCAUCUUUCCACGUUGUAUGUAGAUAGGAAAGUUGAGUGGUUCAUGGAGUCAGUCCUCAUAACACUCCCAUAUCUCGUCAAGAAGGUUGCUAAACACCAACAAACUCAGUUAUGCGGGCUUGAUCCUUUCAGUUGGUAUUGUGUUCCGGAUAUCUACUACAACGAAAGGACUGGCGAUUGUGGUCCGAUCAGUAUCAAGUCCUUCGAGAUGAACGCACAUGGGGACCUUGCACCCCCACAUGUUUGGGUUAACAGACGACCUAGUUGACGACAUCCAUAAACAAUACACCUUGGACGUCUACAAGACAAUUGUGCUCCUUGCUUACCAUUCACCACCUAGCUACUGAUAAUCCCAAAUCUAUCUGAUCCUUAUGUUUUUUUUUGGUUUUACUUUGUCUAAAUUUCACUUUUGUCGACAACAAUAUCUUGCUAUGGAAUGUUAUCAGGUCUUUUAGCUAAAUUUAAAACGCUUAAUGUGUAUUUUUGGAGUAGUAGUGACUAUUUUGUAGCUCACAGUCUACUUUGUUAUUUAUUCUAGAUUUUCAUCCACAUUCAAAACCUGCAGACAACAAGCACAUCCAAAAAUUAAACUACGAACAUCCACACCCACAUUUUUAAGCCAUUUUUAUAUUAUUUUUUACAUGCUAAAUUACUAGAAUGUUAUGGAAAAGUUGGGAUAUGACUAUAAUAACAUAUAUUUUUAAACAAUUACUAGAAUGUUUGUAGACCCCUAGUAAAUUACAAUUAAGACCCUUGGUUAGUUUUUUAAAUUGCGAUUAUUUUUAAACAAUAAAUUCAUGUCACUAAUUACUAUAUUUACGUCAUUAAUAACUGUAUUUAUUCUGAUCAAAAGAGAAUGAAGACAAUGAAUCGUCUUUCUAACUAAACUUCAUGUGUUGAAAAAAAACUCCACAAGUUUCAUCAUUCGCCGCUUAAACUCUAAUCUUUUGAGUCGAUAUUGUUGUUUAUCGUCCGAAAUUCUCUUCUCCGAUAACGUCUUCGCCGAAAUCGUCUUCUCCGCAAGCGUUUCUAUGAAAUUGUCUUCGCUGCAAUCGCCCGAAAUCAUCUUCUAUACUGAGUUUUUCGAGUGUGUGGCUGAGUUUUAAUUUAUGUUGUGGCUGACUU